GUUAUUUCAUCAUUAAAUUCACUUCUGAGACGUUUUGAGGUCAGGCUCAGCAGACAAAUGAAGCUGCCCCUCACGCUCUUCAGCAACAGCUGAAGCACAUAUUUCACCCAGUUUCACCUAAUGCUAAUUUUGUCUGCUUCCCGAUUGCAUGCCCGGUGCAAUGCAAGGUUUCAAUUUGAUUGAAGCCUCCGCCAAAAACAGUGGGCGAGAACAGGCUUCACUCGAAACUUUACUGACCUGAAAAAACAUACACACAAGCUAAUUUGAAUGCAAGACUUGGCUUCAUAGUCAUGGGAACAAACUGCUGUGUGUGCCAGCUAGGAUGUUGACCAGGGAGUGGAUCCGUUAUGCCAUGCUACAGGGAUUUUAAUGGCACCAAGAUGAUAACUGUUCCACUUUCUUGAAAAGGUGGAGGAAGCAAAUUCUCCUUGCCACGUGCAGCGCCAUUCUUGCUGGAGUCCACGUUUCCCAAAUCUCUACAAAGGAAGCAGUGGGUAAACUUUUACGAGUAACAGAAGAAUAUGCAGGUUGACAAAUACUGAAAUUUGCCUUUCAGUUUGUGCAAUUUCAUUCAUGGUAUUACUCUAUGAUUGCAGAAAAUACUGCAUUAACCGCACUGUAAUGUCAUGUGUUGGUAUGUUCAAUGCUGUUUUCCAUAUGGCUAU